rnacentral:rRNA from 1 species
AGGACGAACGCUGGCGGCGUGCUUAACACAUGCAAGUCGAACGGAAAGGCCCUUUCGGGGGUACUCGAGUGGCGAACGGGUGAGUAACACGUGACUAACCUACCCUUGAGUGGGGAAUAACUUCGGGAAACCGAGGCUAAUACCGCAUAACACCUACGGGUCAAAGGGGCAAUUCGCUUAAGGAGGGGGUCGCGGCAGAUUAGUUAGUUGGCGGGUAAUGGCCCACCAAGACGGUGAUCUGUAUCC